rnacentral:rRNA from 1 species
CGUGCCUAAUACAUGCAAGUCGAACGCCAUUGUGGUUGAAAUGAUAUGAAGAACUUGUUCAGAUUUGAUUUUCAACAUUGCAAUGAGUGGCGAACGGGUGAGUAACACGUGGGAAACCUACCUCUUAGCAGGGGAUAACAUUUGGAAACAAAUGCUAAUACCGUAUAAUAAUUAAAACCGCAUGGUUUUAGUUUAAAAGAUGGUCUUGCUAUCACUAAGAGAUGGUCCCGCAGUGUAUUAGUUAGUUGGUGAGGUAAUGGCUCACCAAGACAAUGAUACAUAGCCGAGUUGAGAGACUGACCGGCCACAAUGGGACUGAGACACGGCCCAUACUCCUACGGGAGGCAGCAGUAGGGAAUCUUCCACAAUGGACGAAAGUCUGAUGGAGCAACGCCGCGUGUGUGAUGAAGGGUUUCGGCUCGUAAAACACUGUUGUAAGAGAAGAAUGACAUUGAGAGUAACUGUUCAAUGUGUGACGGUAUCUUACCAGAAAGGAACGGCUAAACACGUG